UACGAAGGGGGCUAGCGUUGUUCGGAAUUACUGGGCGUAAAGCGUGCGCAGGCGGCUUCUCAAGGCAGGGGUGAAAGCCCAGAGCUCAACUCUGGAAUUGCCUUUGAGACUGAGUGGCUUGAGUACGAGAGAGGUGAGUGGAAUUCCCAGUGUAGAGGUGAAAUUCGUAGAUAUUGGGAAGAACACCGGUGGCGAAGGCGGCUCACUGGCUCGUAACUGACGCUCAUGCACGACAGCGUGGGGAUCAAACAGG
rnacentral:rRNA from 1 species